AUGGUAUAUACUGCGAUUACGCUCAUUGUUCAUAGUCGGUUUCUUGGAAUAACAACCGGCUAAACCGAGUCAAAUUACCAAAUGCUACUCUUCACGAUAAAUCAGGAGCUUAUAAGACUCACGAGUACGCUGCUAACCAGUAUGUUGGGUUAAACGUGGCUUAUGCUCGACACGUGGCUUUCAAAAGGGUUUAAAAUGAGACGAGGUGGCUUUCACUGAGAUUCGCUUACUAAGACAAGUUGGCUAACGUUUUAAAAAUGAUUUGAGUCCGCCUCUUAUCAUAAAACGAGUUUAUAUAAUAAUCAUAAAAAUUUGAAAGAUGUUUGAAUAUUUAUAAACUCACUUGUGAUGCAGUUAAAUCAAGUAGUCAAGAUUUAAGUGCUCAACUUCUAGAAAAGUUUGUAGUUUUCUCUCUUUUUGAUAGUGAUCUUACGUUGCUAUCCAUACCAAAUGUUGGCAGAAAGUAUAUCUUAAUUAAAAGUGAAACGGGCCGAUGAAUUGUUAGGGUUGAUAGUAAUAAUCCGUGGCGUAUUCUAUGCAUUAAAAUCUCAUAAAUCGUUCGAUUAACAUCCUAAUCUGUGAUUAAUAUAGUUGUCGUGGUGUAUUCAAAUGCAUUAAAAUCCCUGUGGUGUACAAAUAAAUGCAUUAAGAAAGUCUUUAGCUUAUUUAAUUUACACAUGGGACUAUGUAUGAUGCAACUUUAUAUUAUAGAUUAAAUAAUAGAAAAAAAAACUAAGAAAAUAUCCAGUCGCGCUUAAGUUAACAUAUUACAACAACUAAUCAUGUUAGUGAAAUGUAUAAAAAAAUGAUCAAUGAGGUACAAAUGGAUGAAUAAAAACAACAUUUGGAAAGCUAAAAAAAUCAUUAAAAAAAUACUACAAAUUUUGAUCAAUGAGCAUUCUACUUGCAGAAUGCAAAUAAAUAAGCAGGCAAGAAUAAGAUCUUAGCAUCUUACCGUAUUUUGAGAGACUAAAUUGCUUUCAGCCCGGCAAGCUCACGCAGUUUCUCACAUAGUACGAAUGUGAUUGUAGUUUGUGGACCUAGUCGUGCAAAAAUAGUAAAGCCACUGCAAUAUAUAUGUAUUUUAGUCAAACCUUGGUAACAGAAAAUAAAUAUGGGCUGGAAGUCAGGUUAGGGAACGGGUCAAAAUGGGUAAUUUUUGUGCGGGUUGAAUUGGGUCGGCCGGGUCGGGUUGGUUGACCAAAAUACAUUUUUGUCCAAUUUCUCUUGUAACGAACUGGUUUAUAAAAAGAUAAAAUCAAAGGAAUUAUAUUAGUUACAAAUUUCAACAAUAAUGUAUUUUUGAAUAAGAUGAUUUAUGACGUUUUCU
rnacentral:lncRNA from 1 species